rnacentral:rRNA from 1 species
AGUGAACGCUGGCGGUAGGCCUAACACAUGCAAGUCGAACGGCAGCACAGUAAGAGCUUGCUCUUACGGGUGGCGAGUGGCGGACGGGUGAGGAAUACAUCGGAAUCUACUUUUUCGUGGGGGAUAACGUAGGGAAACUUACGCUAAUACCGCAUACGACCUACGGGUGAAAGCAGGGGAUCUUCGGACCUUGCGCGAUUGAAUGAGCCGAUGUCGGAUUAGCUAGUUGGCGGGGUAAAGGCCCACCAAGGCGACGAUCCGUAGCUGGUCUGAGAGGAUGAUCAGCCACACUGGAACUGAGACACGGUCCAGACUCCUACGGGAGGCAGCAGUGGGGAAUAUUGGACAAAGGGCGCAAGCCUGAUCCAGCCAUACCGCGUGGGUGAAGAAGGCCUUCGGGUUGUAAAGCCCUUUUGUUGGGAAAGAAAAGCAGCAGGUUAAUAUCCCGCUGUUCUGACGGUACCCAAAGAAUAAGCACCGGCUAACUUCGUG